GUGACCUCCUGGGCCCUUCUUUUGCAGGUGUUUCAGCUCUUCUCUGCUGUCCUAAAGUACUUUCCUGGCACGCACAGACAAAUCGCCAAAAACUUCCAGGAAAUCCUUGACUACAUUGGCCAUAGUGUGGAGCAGCACAGGGCCACCUUGGACCCCAGCACUCCACGAGACUUCAUUGAUACCUACCUUCUGCGCAUGGAGAAGGAGAAGUCCAACCACCACACAGAGUUCCAUCACCAGAACCUCAUGAUGUCUGUGCUCUCUCUCUUCUUUGCUGGAACUGAGACCAGUAGCACCACGCUCCGCUAUGGCUUCCUGUUCAUGCUCAAGUACCCCCACGUUGCAGGUGCACCAUGGGUGGACAGUUGGAGGAUUUUCUAUCUACCUUUGGAUGUGGGAAUUUGAGUGGAUGAGAGCCACAUGGACAUCUGGAACUCUAAUUGCUUUGUUCAACUUGUAAACUAAGGCAGUGCUGUGGGUGGAAUGUGAGCGAACACUCAGCUGACCCGUUUUCUGUUGUCUCUAUUAAAGGUUGAUCCUUCCCUUCCUUC